CACAUGCAAGUCGAGCGGAAAGGCUCCUUCGGGGGGUACUCGAGCGGCGAACGGGUGAGUAACACGUGAGUAAUCUGCCCUUGGCUUCGGGAUAACUACCGGAAACGGUGGCUAAUACCGGAUAUGACCACUCCUUGCAUGAGGUGGUGGUGGAAAGUUUUUUCGGCCAGGGAUGUGCUCGCGGCCUAUCAGCUUGUUGGUGGGGUAAUGGCCUACCAAGGCUUCGACGGGUAGCCGGCCUGAGAGGGUGACCGGCCACACUGGGACUGAGACACGGCCCAGACUCCUACGGGAGGCAGCAGUGGGGAAUAUUGGACAAUGGGCGGAAGCCUGAUCCAGCAACGCCGCGUGAGGGAUGACGGCCUUCGGGUUGUAAACCUCUUUCAGUACCGACGAAGCGCCGAUGAUGGUGGUGACGGUAGGUACAGAAGAAGCACCGGCCAACUACGUG
rnacentral:rRNA from 1 species